AACUUAAGAACUUUUCACUCCACACUUGCCCACACGUUUUUGCCUCCAAGCUUUCAAGCUUUCAAGUGCUCAAGUGUCCUAGCUUUCCAAAGCUUCAAAAGCUCUCCAACUUCUUCUUCUAAUCUUCUUGUUCAUCUUUACAAGUAAGAAGUGUUGUUUGCUUUAAUAUUCCAUUCUUCUAAUCACCUCUUGUGUGUGUCCACUUUGGUUGAGAGGGUUGUCUCAAUAGUACCAAAGUGUGAGAGAAGGUUUUUGAGCUCAACCAUAAAGCUCUAAUUUGGUUUUAUAGAGUUUCCGGGAAAACUCUUAGGUCGAGUCUACCUUUAAAGAUUUCAGAGGUUUUUAAGAGUUCCUUGAUACUCUAAGGUACUAACUUACCCGUAAAAGUUAGAGGUUCUUAAGAGUGCCCUUGAUACUCUAAGGUGUGAGUCUACCCGUAAAAGACUGGUUCCUAAGCGAAGUAGCCUUAAAGCUUAGAGAGAUUUUUAAGAGUUCCUUGAUACUCUAAGGUACUAACUUACCCGUAAAAGUUAGAGGUUCUUAAGAGUGCCCUUGAUACUCUAAGGUGUGAGUCUACCCGUAAAAGACUGGUUCCUAAGCGAAGUAGCCUUAAAGCUUAGAGAGGUUCUUAAGAGUUUCCUUGAUACUCUAAGGUUUUGUCAUAACCUUUAGGCGAGUGAAUUCCGGCAGUUGGUCGGGACUGGACUAGCCCUUGUUUGGGUGAACCAGUAUAAAUCUCUUGUGUUGUUCUCUGUUAAUUAUAGUUUUAUCUUUUAUCUAAAACAACUAAAUCAACACUUAAUUAAAAAGGAUCCCUCUUCCAGUUAUCUGGUCAAAUACAAAGGUUGACUACUUUACGCAGAUCCCUCAUCCAGUUAUCUGGUCAACUAUCUGAGGUUAUAUUCAUUGUUUUAAAUCCUUAUAUUUGUUCAAGCAUUUACUUAUCAUAUAUAUCCAGUUAUCUGGUCAUUUACUUGCUUAUCAAUAUAUCCAGUUAUCUGGUCAUUUACUUGCUUAUAAAUAUAUCCAGUUAUCUGGUCAUUUACUCUACAAUACAAUUUGUGUUUAUAAUAUAACUUAAUAUUCAUAUACUAUAGUUGUGUGUAAAACACUAUCAAGCGAGUUGACUCAGUAUUCAUAUACUGUGGUAAGCUUCGAAGAGUAAUAAUUACAUUAUUAUAUCAAUCAAAGUUAUAAUAUCUUUAUAUCAUUAUUGUUCAACCAUUUGUUUAUUAAGCGUUUACAGGUAAUUCCGCAAUCAACCUGUAUAAAUCGAAAAGAGGCUAUUAUCCCCUCUUAUAGCCUCGGAUCACGAUCCAACAGUAAGUGCGAGCUUCCAACCUUAAAGUGGGCCAAUAGUACCCUAGUCGUAUGAUUUUGAAGGUCAGUGCUCUUCCUCCCUCGUGGAGUCCGCACGAGCCUUCGUGUACUUCCUGGAUAACCCCAUCCGUAUCUGGCUUGGCCAAACAGCGUAGCAAUGGGCUGUCGAAGGACUUUUUGUAAAGCACUUCUCCGACGUCGCAGUACUUAGCUGCCUUGUGUUGCAAUUUUUUGGCCUCGCCCCUAUUGUCAAGAAGUACGCCAUUCUGAAUGAAUGCCAGUAUUGGUUGUCUCCAAUCCUCUUGGGCAUCGGAUGUGACAUUCAAUACUUGGCAUGAGGGCUGGAGUACAGAGUCUACCAGAAUUUCACGCUGACCUCCUUCCCAGGCCGAUGCUAGCCGUGCUAGGGCAUCGACGGGUGUGUUCUGAGUUCGAGGGAUUUGCUCGAUUUUAAACUCAGCGAACUGCUUGGUGAGUUCCACCAUUGCUUCCACAUACUUCGUGAUUUGUGGUUCCUUGCAGGCGAACUCACCAGUGGUUUGCCGAGCCACGAGAUGGGAGUCAAUGCGAAGCGUGACCUUCUCAGCGCCGAGAGUUCGCAACAGCUUUAGACCAUGUAUGGCUGCUUCGUAUUUCGCGACAUUGUUAGAUGCCGGGAAGUGAAGCCGUAUCGAGUAUUCGUAAUUUUUUCCAUCUGAACUAUGGAUUUUCACUCCGAUACCCGAGCCUGUGCUGCAACUCGAACCGUCUACGUCCACAGUCCAUGGUUGUGUCAGGUUCGAUGGUGUGAGCUCGACAAUGAAAUCUGCCACAGCUUGCCCUUUGAUGAAAGUGGCUGGUCGGAAAUCCAAGUCGAACUCACUGAGCUCGAUUGCCCACUUAGUUAACCUUCCCGACAUGUCUGACUUGUGGAGUAGACGGCGUAAGGAACACGAUAUAAGUACUAUGAUCGUGUGUGUCAAGAAGUAGGCUCGAAAGCGACGACAAGCGUGGAUCACAACGUAUACGACCUUCUCAAUUGGAGAAUAUCGUAUUUCUGCUCCUUGUAGUCGCCUCGAGUGGUAAUAGAUGGGGACUUGGUCCUUAUCUCUUUGUGCGAUAAGGACUGCACUUACGGCUUCUUCUAAGGCCGCUAUGUACAAGUACAGGUCCUCCCCAUCCUUGGGUGAGUUCAGCAUUGGAAGUGAGGACAUAUGUGUUUUUAACUUUGUAAAUGUCUCCUCACAUUCCGGUGUCCAAGUGAUAUUACCCUUAGCUGCAGUUUUUAGUAGCUGGAAGAACGGUUUGCAUUUGUCAGCCGUUUGCGAUAUGAAACGACUGAGUGCAUUGAUUCGACCGUUCAGCCUUUGUACUUCUCUGAUUGUGCGGGGGGCUUCCAUAUCGAGGAUUGCUUGGAUUUUGUCGGGAUUCGGUUUGAUCCUGUGCUGACCUACAUAGAAGCCAAGGAACUUGUCUUCCUUGAUUCCGAAUGCGCACUUAGCUGGGUUGAGCUUCAUUCCAUAUUGUUUUAGCGUAUCAAGGGUUUCUCUCAGAUCAUCAAGGUGUUGUUUCACGCUAGAUGAUUUGACCAGGAUGUCAUCUACGUAAGCGGAAACGUUACGCCCGAUCCGGUCCGCAAAAACCUUGUCCAUUAGACGCUGGAAUGUAGCCCCCGCAUUCCUCAGACCGAAUGACAUUACUCUAUAACAGAAUGUCCCUGAAUCAGUGAUGAAGGAUGUUUUUUUCUCAUCAGGUUUAUGCAUCAGGAUCUGGUUAUAUCCUGAGUGGGCAUCCAUCAUAGAGAGGAGUUCGUUACCGGAUGCUCCAUCGACUAGCUCGUCGAUGGACGGCAACAGGUAACUGCCCUUGGGGCAUGCUUUAUUGAGAUCCAUGAAGUCAAUGCACAUGCGCCACUUGCCAUUAGGUUUCUUGACGAGGACGGGGUUGGCCAGCCAAGUUGGAUAUCGGACCUCCCGAAUGUGUCCGGCAUUCAAGAGUUUCGAUAUUUCCUUAUUGGCUGCCUCCCGCCUGUCAGAAGUGAGUACUCGACAUUUCUGACGUCGAGCUGGAAUGGAUGGGUCGACAUUGAGUUUGUUUGUCACGAUCUGACGCGCAAUCUGUGUCGGUGUCUCACCCUCCCAAACGAACCUGUCCUGGUGCUCCUCCAGGACAGUCACAAGCUUGGCCCUUAGAUCAGAGGGUAGCCCCUUUCCUAAUGUCACAUGUCCCCCCUCUAGCUGAAACACUUCGGUCUCGUCCACAUGUUGUAAUUUCUCCCUCUCCCCAAUGUCGGGCGGGGCAUGGACGAGCAUGUUGUUUAACCUUGUCAGUUGGGUAGCCUUCUUAUACCCUAGUCUAGAAUCCUUUUGUGAUCCUUUGAUUGUUGCGAUGAACCCCUUUACUGGGUAUCGUAUGCACUGGUGAUAAGAAAACGGGACUACCUUGAUUCCAUGAAUGAAGGGUCGUCCGAAAAUGCCAUAGAAAGUGGAUUCUACUUCCACCACUAUAAAAUGAUAAGUCCGACUAACCCUCCCUUACCUGGAACCGAUGGAGACUUUCAAAUCAAUAACACCGGCCACUAGGGCAGCGAUGUUAGUAAUUAAAACCGUAGAUGGCUUCCUUGCAGGGAGAUAGCUCCUCCCUUUUAAGGUCCAUCUUGGUGAAAGUGUCCAUGUAGAGGAUGUCCGCGGAACUGCCGCUAUCGACAAUCAUCAUCUUGACUCGGGAAUCGGGACCGAUGUCUGCUUGGAUCACGAGUAGAACCUCGUGAGGUUGCAGAACAUCGUCCAGGUCCUCUUCCAAGAAGAAUAUAGACUUCUCCUCGCGGACCCGUUUUCCGUUGUCUCGAGAUGUUGAUUGUGACAUCAGCACCUUCCGGGCGUACCCUCUGUUCUGACCAACAGAACCACCACCAUAUAUCAUAUUGAUGGUUUUCCGUUGGCGAUCCUCGCUGCUGUCGCUAUCUGGCGAAGGAAAACGUGGACGUUCCCCCUUCGGGUCAGAUUUGCAAGUGUCCCGUCCUCGGGGUCCCUUGACGAAGUUGUCAAGUUCUCCCUUCGAGAUCAGUUGCUCGACAAAGCCCGAGAAUUCCUUGCAGUGGUCAGUUAGGUGGUCGUGGUCUUUAUAGAAUUUGCAGUAUCUUCCACCUUUCUUACGGUUGUCCUUGGUUGCAAGGUCUAAAGAGCGAGGAGCGGGCAGAUCCGCUCGGCUCUUUAGCUUUUCCAACAGUUCGCCCUUGCUGAUGGUUAGCGGGGUGAAGUCCCUCCCCUUUGGCAACUGCUUCAUUGAGGUCUGGUACACCUUAUUGUCGUGUUUCGGCUUCCACUCUUUUUUGAAAGCUUCAGCCCUGUUGUCGGUGUACCUACCAGGGGUUCCAUUGAAAUUGUUUUUUCUAGUGUACCCCUUUCUCGUUUUUUAAAGCUAGGGGUCCCAAGUUCCGCUAGCUUAUUCUCAUCCUCCUCUUCCAUCUCAAUGUAUAAUUGAGCUCGAUGGAAGAGGUCGGGCAGGGUUUCCACUUUAUGGAGCUUCAGGUUCUGAGCCAAUGGGGAGAAAAGUAUCAAUCCUCUGAUGUACCCCGCUAUGGCCAGACUUGGGAUUAAAUCGUUCACUUCUGUCAUCAUCAAAGUGAACUUGAUUGUGAAGUCCCGAAGAGACAGCUUGUCCUGUCGUAGUGCCAAUAGUGCGUUGGCACUGUGUUUGAUCCUGAUCAUCCCCACAUGUUGGGCGAUGAACUUUGAGGAAAGGUCCGCGAAGCUGGUGAUAGAGCCAACUGGCAGACCGGAGAACCACCGAUAAGCGCUGCCCUUGAGAGUGUCGGGGAAUGCCCGACACAAUAACCCAUUAUCGGUGGUCUGGGGUUCCAAGAUGUUAAGGUAGAGGUUCACGUGAUCUUUUGGAUCACUCGAACCAUCAUACGCUUCGAUCCUGGAUACCCGCCAGGUUGGUGGAAAGGAUCCUUUCAAAAGGUCCACGUGAAAGGAAGCGUUUUUGAUCCUUAGCAUUUCGUGGGGACUGUCGACGACUGGGUCGUCGGCCAGUUUCCGACGAAGAUCCUCCACGAACCGAGUGGUAAGAGUCUUUUCAGAGCGACUCUUACUGGGUCCUGUCUUUGUCUUAAGACGGGAACUCUGUUUGGUCUUCUCCGCAGAUGGAGAAUAGAUAGACCCUGACUCAUCCGCCUUUUCGCGGAUGAUGGUCCUUUGACUCCUCGCUUGUUCGAGGUUGCUCAUUCUUCUCUCCAUGUUCUCCAUGAAGUUGGACAACCUCUCUUCCAGAGUGGAGGGGUCCUUCUGUACCAAGUGUUCCUCGUGUGGAGGAACCGAGUUUGUUUGGUCAGGUUGAGCAUCGUCGGGCCUCUUUGGCCGAGACUGCUCGCCCUGCUCCAGCUCAAUUGUUGCUGGCAUUUUACCCUUACUUCUUGUGGCGUAAGGGUGCUUUUGCUUUUCGAUGAUUGUCAUAGUAACAAAAGCGGGAUAGUUCCAAAGCGGGGAGGUGACCUGACCGAGCUUGUUCAAAAAACAAAGAAAAAAUUGGUGAUUUAAAGGGACGUAGACCUGACCAUGCUGGAAUUCUGCCAAAGUGAACUCGGUUCCAUUGUCGCUCCUGAUGAUCUUGGAACGUAGUCCGUAUUGAGUUAAUCCAUUAAGGACGAAUUGUCGGAAGAUAUUGGGCACCUCGGUUUUGCUUUUGAGUAAGAAAACCCAGGUCAUCCUCGAGCUAUCAUCUACUAUGGUGAGGAAGUAUGAAUGUCCUUGAUGCGAGGGCGUUCAACACUUCCCCCAUAAAUCCAUGUGUAUUAGGUCAAACGUUUGCUUGGUGUGGGAAUAGCUUUCCUUGAAAGGUGCCCUUUUUUAUUUUGCUAGGGGACAUGUGUUACAAAAUUUAUCAAAAGUAGUUGGAAUGUCGUUUAGCAGUGAAUGUAAAUUUAUCAAAAGUCUGGAAUUACACUGGUGCUAAUUGCAUGUUAUAUUUACAAUAAUUAGUUGCAUGUUCAGAUUUACAACUAGUUGCAUGUUCAGAUUUACAACUAGUUGCAUGUUCAGAUUUACAACUAGUUGCAUGUUCAGAUUUAUAACUAGUUGCAUGUUCACAUUUACAACUAUUCACAUGUUUAGGUUUACAUUUGUUUGCAUGCUCAGGUUUAUAUUUUUAUCGUAACGAAUUCUAGAAGAUGAGAAUAUUGAAUUGAAGAUCAAACUGAUCAAGAAAUGUGGUUAUAGAGAUCAUUGAGAUUUUUGGUUGCAGGUCGGUGAGAUUUUUGGUUGCAGAUCGGCGAGGUUGUUGCAUGUAGAUCGGUGAUCAAGUUGUUGCUUGUAAAUCGAUGUAGUUGUUGGUUGUAGAUCAGUAAGGUUAUUGGUUCUUGAUCGGUGAGAUUGUUGAAAAUAAAAAAAUGGUUGGAGAUCAAGAUCGUGAAAAAUAAUUAGAAAGAUUUUGGAAGAUCAAAAUUGUGAGGGAG
rnacentral:lncRNA from 1 species